GAUGAACGCUGGCGGCGUGCCUAAUACAUGCAAGUCGAGCGAACAGAUGAGGAGCUUGCUCCUCUGACGUUAGCGGCGGACGGGUGAGUCACACGUGGAUAACCUACCUAUAAUACUGGGAUAAUUUCGGGAAACCGGAGCUUACACCGGAUAAUAUCUUGAACCGCAUGGUUCAAUAGUGAAAGACGGUUUUGCUGUCACUUAUCGAUGGAUCCGCGCCGCAUUAGCUAGUUGGUAAGGUAACGGCUUACCAAGGCAACGAUGCGUAGCCGACCUGAGAGGGUGAUCGGCCACACUGGAACUGAGACACGGUCCAGACUCCUACGGGAGGCAGCAGUAGGGAAUCUUCCGCAAUGGGCGGAAGCCUGACGGAGCAGCGCCGCGUGAGUGAUGAAGGUCUUCGGAUCGUAAAACUCUGUUAUUAGGGAAGAACAAAUGUGUAAGUAACUAUGCACGUCUUGACGGUACCUAAUCAGAAAGCCACGGCUAACUACGUG
rnacentral:rRNA from 1 species